UGCCAGCCGCCGCGGUAAUACGGAGGGGGUUAGCGUUGUUCGGAAUUACUGGGCGUAAAGCGCGCGUAGGCGGAUUAGUAAGUUAGGGGUGAAAUCCCGGGGCUCAACCCCGGAACUGCCUCUAAUACUGGUGGACUUGAGGAUGGUAGGGGUGAGCGGAACUCCAGGUGGAGCGGUGAAAUGCGUAGAUAUCUGGAGGAACACCGGUGGCGAAAGCGGCUCACUGGACCAUCACUGACGCUGAGGUGCGAAAGCUAGGGUAGCAAACGGGAUUAGAUA
rnacentral:rRNA from 1 species